GACGAACGCUGGCGGCGUGCCUAAUACAUGCAAGUCGAGCGGACGAAUCGAAAGCUUGCUUUUGAUUCGUUAGCGGCGGACGGGUGAGUAACACGUGGGCAACCUGCCCUGUAGACGGGGAUAACACCGAGAAAUCGGUGCUAAUACCGGAUAACACGAAAUGUCGCAUGACGUUUCGUUGAAAGACGGCGCAAGCUGUCGCUACAGGAUGGGCCCGCGGCGCAUUAGCUAGUUGGUGAGGUAACGGCUCACCAAGGCGACGAUGCGUAGCCGACCUGAGAGGGUGAUCGGCCACACUGGGACUGAGCCACGGCCCAGACUCCUACGGGAGGCAGCAGUAAGGAAUCUUCCGCAAUGGACGAAAGUCUGACGGAGCAACGCCGCGUGAGCGAAGAAGGCCUUCGGGUCGUAAAGCUCUGUUGUUAGGGAAGAACAAGUAACGCAGUAACUGGCGUUACCGUGACGGUACCUAACGAGAAAGCCACGGCUAACUACGUG
rnacentral:rRNA from 1 species